CCUACGGGGGGCAGCAGUGGGGAAUCUUGGGCAAUGGGCGCAAGCCUGACCCAGCAACGCCGCGUGAAGGAAGAAGGCUUUCGGGUUGUAAACUUCUUUUAAGAGGGAAGAGCAGAAGACGGUACCUCUUGAAUAAGCCACGGCUAACUACGUGCCAGCAGCCGCGGUAAUACGUAGGUGGCAAGCGUUGUCCGGAUUUACUGGGUGUAAAGGGCGUGCAGCCGGGAAGACAAGUCAGAUGUGAAAGCCCGCGGCUCAACCGCGGAACUGCAUUUGAAACUGUUUGUCUUGAGUACCGGAGAGGUCAUCGGAAUUCCUUGUGUAGCGGUGAAAUGCGUAGAUAUAAGGAAGAACACCAGUGGCGAAGGCGGAUGACUGGACGGCAACUGACGGUGAGGCGCGAAAGCGUGGGGAGCAAACAGGAUUAGAUACCCGGGUAGUC
rnacentral:rRNA from 1 species